UCUUCCAAUGGACAAUGACCCGAAACAUACUUCCAAAGUUAUGGCAAAAUGGCUUAAGGACAACAUAGUCAUGGUAUUGGAGUGGCCAUAACAAAGUCCUGACCGCAAUCCUAUAGAAAAUGUGUGAGGCAGAACUGAAAAAGCAUGUGCGAGCAAGGAGGCCUACAAACCUGACUCAGUUACACCAGCUCUGUCAGGAGGAAUGGGCCAAAAUUCACCCAACUUAUUGUGGAAGGAUACUCGAGACGUUUGACCCAAGCUAAACAAUUUAAAGGCAAUGCUACCAAAUACUUAUUGAGUGUAUGUAAACUUCUGACCCACCUGGGAAUGUGAUGAAAGAAAUGAAAGCUUAAAUAAAUUACUCUCUCUUUUAUUCUGACAUUUCACAUUAUUGAAAAUAAAGUGGUGAUCCUAACUGACCUAAGACAGGGAAUUUUUACUAGGAUUAAAUGUCAGGAAUUGUGGAAAAACUGAGUUUAAAUGUUUUUGGCUAAGGUGUAUGUAAACUUCAGACUUCAACUGUAUGUAAUGUAUGUCAUUCACUCGUUAAGGUCUGAAGAAGACAGGUUGAAAGAUUGAAAACGGCGGCAAAAACAAAGCACACUACAGGAUGAUGUAGAUGACUCCCCCCUCCCCCCAAGAAGUCACAGCAGGUCACAUCAGCAUCCAGCUUUGCAAGAGCAGACCAUACUAAAAAUGAAAUGCACGGCGAACUGGGAGCUGUGAACUGGGAUGCAGAUUUUCUCCUAAGGGACACCCUAGUGGCAGCAAGGUGGUGUGAACGCCAAACAUUUAAAGGCACUGUUUCCCUCCCUAGUGCAAUUGGGAUGGACGGGGAAGACCGCAUUUACAACCCUUAAAUAACUACGGUUGUAUGAUGGCCUGGAUGAAUAGGAAAAUAUUCUCCUCAAGGAACUGACCGUCUUUGCCUCUUUUGAGGAGCAGGAGUGAAGCUAUUUUUGAGGAGUGGUCAAACCUUGUUUUUGUCUGCUGUGUUAAUUGUUUCAAUUGUUAAUUGUGUUAUUUAGUAAAGAUGACGUAGCAGUCACCCGAGUCUCUGGUCUCUUUACUGGAGCUGGUAUAACUGUCUAUAUGGUAUAGUCUGUUUCCAUUCUCAUGAGGAAAGUAAAUAGCAUUAUAAAUCAGGAUAGGUAGUAAG
rnacentral:lncRNA from 1 species